rnacentral:rRNA from 1 species
UAGUGAUCGUCUCUCGCAUAUCAAUAAGCGGAGGAAAAGAAACUAACAAGGAUUCCCUUAGUAACGGCGAGUGAAGCGGAAGAGCUCAAAUUUGAAAUCUUCAAGGUUUUACCUUGACGAAUUGUAGUUUAAAGAAGUGUUUUCCGUUGAAGUUUUGGUAAAAGUUCUUUGGAAUAGGACAUCAUAGAGGGUGAGAAUCCCGUAUUUGACCAUUAUUUUCAGCUGUGUGAUACACUUUCAAAGAGUCGGAUUGUUUGGGAAUGCAGUCCAAAAUGGGUGGUAAAUUUCAUCUAAAGCUAAAUAUUGGCGAGAGACCGAUAGCGAACAAGUACCGUGAGGGAAAGAUGAAAAGAACUUUGAAAAGAGAGUUAAACAGUACGUGAAAUUGUCAAAAGGGAAGCGUUUGACACCAGUGUUGUUUUCUCGAAAAUCAAUUAAAAAGAGUUUAGAUUUUGUUGUGUAUUGACCUUAACAGCUUGCAUUUCAAUUUUCUUGCUUUUUUUAAUGCACUUUUCGUUUAACAAGUCAACAUCAGUUUCUUUUGUUGUAAAAAGGUCAUUGGAAGGUGGCUUUCCUUUCGGAGAAAGUGUUUAUAGCCUUUGACUCCUGCAAUCGGAGAGACUGAGGUCUGCAGCGUAGAUCCUUCGGGGUUAGAUACAUUUGUGCUAAGUUAUAGCUUUUUAUAGACAACUUGUUGACUAUGAUUAGUCUUGUAGCUUACUCGCUUAUGCUAUUUUACCUACGCUUAGGAUGUUGAAGAUGUAGCACAUCAU